GAGGCGUGGGAAACCGGCAGGAAUAUGGAUUUUACUGUCAUCACGUCUUGCAACCUGCUAAGCUCACUGAAGUUUUUUAUAAGUCCUCGAAAAGACAGUGGCACCUGGUUUUCCUUCCCCAUGUGGAACCCUCUACAGCUUCCAGCAAGUUCCAUCACCCAGAGGACGCCAUGCAAGGAAGUGGCAAUGCCGGAACUUGAAGACCUGCUCCAGUGACAGGCCCUACUCUCACCUGCCCUGCCCUGAAAAACAGCCUCAGUGGCCUAGGGAAGUCCCCAGGUCAGGGGUCACAUCUAAGCUGCAACUGCAGCCUACGCCACAGCAACCCUGGAUCCAAACCACUUCUGUGACCUACACCGCAGCUUAUGGCAAUGCAGGAUCCUUAACCCGCUGACUGAGGCCAGGGAUGGAACCGGUGACGUCACAGAGACAACACUAGGUCCUUGACCAGCUGAGCCACAGUGGGAACCCCCAGUCUGGUUUUUGAAGCAGAGGUCAUCAAACUUUUUUGCUCCUGUAUCCCCGAAUAAAUUUUGAAAAACUCGCCCUUCCGCAUUCCAAGCAGACGUCUAAGUUUUGCAUCGUCAAUGUAGAGAGUCGUAAAGGAGGUCGUGUCUGGCACAUCAUCGUUUUAAUCCAACUUUUCAUAACACUUUUAAAUGUAUACAAUGGCCACGAAGUCCUAAGGCAAUUUGAUAUUCUCAUCACCCAAUUAAAAUAUGCGUUAAUCAGUAUCCUUCUAGGGAGUUCCCACUGUGGCUCAUUGGUUUACGAACCCAGCUUGUGUCCAUGAGGAUGCAAGUUGAUCCCCGGCCUUGUUCAGUGGGUUAAGGAUCCAGCGUUGCCAUGAGCAGUGGUGUAGGUCGCAGACACGGCUCAGAUCUGGCAUUGCUGUGGUUGUGUCACAGGCUGGCAGCUGCAGGUCUGGUUUGACCCCUGGCCUGGGAACCUCCAUAUGCCACAGGUGUGGCCCUAAAAAGCAAGCAAAUAAAGAAAUAAUCCUUCUUUACAAGAAAUUUUAAAAUGCUUUUUUCUUCUUGAACCUACAUUUCAAUUUCACUUUUUCCUUGCAAAGAAGACAUAAUGUAAUAUCUUUUUUUUUUUUUUUCCGGUCCUUUUAGGGCCACACCCACGGCAUGUGGAGGUUCCCGGGCCAGGGGUCAAGUCAGAGCCAUAGCUGCGGUCUACAUCACAGUCACAGCAAUGCAGGAUCCAAGCCGCAUCUGCAACCUACACCACAGCUCACAGCAACACCAGAUCCUUAAUCUACUGAGCAAGGCCAGGGAUCGAACCUUUGUCCUCAUGGAUACUAGUCAGGUUUGUUACUGCUGAGCCAUGAUGGGAGCUCCUUUUGAAAGUAUUUUAUUAAGCACCCUAUCAUUUCUCUCUGUCAAAUGGCUGUGGCUGUGCAUUUAAAUGUAAUAAAAAUAUCCUC
rnacentral:lncRNA from 1 species